UAUUUUUAAAUAAUAGUUUACUCUUUUGCAACCCAGAACUCAUUGCUCAGUAUGAGUUUUGAUACAUAUAAGAAGGAACAUG
rnacentral:snoRNA from 1 species